CUGAAGCAGAAACUCGCUGCUAGACGAAGUUAAUUUCUCCUACACAGGAUCCUGCUCCUGUUCCACCUUAGAAAUGCUGGUUUUCCUCCAGGUUUUUCUGCCUUUGCUGCCAAGCAGCUCGUCUGGCAGCUCGUCAAACAGAAACGAGCUGCUGCCUCCCAGCAGUUUCUACUUUUUCCAGGAUUGCUUCUGCAACGUUGAACUCUAAAACAUCCCAGCAAGCAAAACAAGACAAGGAUUUGGACGUUAAAAGUAAACAAAUUGGGAAAUGUUCCUUUCUGAGGACGGGAAAGAGAAUCACAUAUUUUCAUGGUUACACCCAAAAGACUGUUCAGGGCAGCAGGAGUCCAUCCUCUCCUCUCCUCCCUCCCUUCUGUUCUCACUCCAUUGCUUCCAAUACAGAGAAGAUAAAUCACAUGCCAUGGAGCCAUUGUUGUGAGGGGAAAUAGAUGGGCCAUUUGUUGACAAAACUCAUUUUCCCACUUCCAGAUGCAGUUUGCUGGACAGGCCUUUCUUUCUGUGUCGCUGGUUUGUCUUCACAAAUGUGUGUGUUUGGUGGAGGGACUGGUCAAAACACACACAUCCAUGAGCAUGUCCUACUAAGACAGCCUCAACCUUUCACUCACACUUUCGGUAUUGUCACACUUCGUAGAUUUGGUUCGAUUGGGGACAAAAAUGUCAACUUUCGUUUCAUUUUCAGCUGUUGUUCGCGUUUUGAAAAACUGUUCCCCUCCUCGCCUGUGGGGGCGCUGCACCGAGAACCUCUGAAGGAAACAACAUGAAAACCUCCGGAGAAGAUACUGAGCGCAACUUCGUUCUUCACAAAAUGGUCUCGUGUUGCUGCAGCCUGGGAGGCCUCUGAAGUGAAGCGAGCUGCUGAGUCACAACCCUCUGAACUCACAGUGAACUUCUCUCUGCUUCCACCAUUCUUCUGGACUGACGCAGACUCAUUUUUCCUUCAAACAUUUCAUCUGAGCUUCGUGGUCGGGGUCACUACUGCAGUUCAUCAUCCCUUCUUUGUGCCAGUGAGAUGGAUUUAUGUCUGUGCUGACUAAGCAUUGCCCCAUGGUCGUUCCUGCCCAGUCAAAUGCCACGGCGUCUCGUGAAGGAUUAAUCACGCUCAGACACACACACCCUCACCGCCAAGCUCAGGAAAACAGGAGGAAAAGGGGUGUGUGUGUAAGCACUCUUCCUCACACACUCUAACUUACGGGCAAAGUUUCACAAGCUGUUACAUGUCCCUAACAGGGUGGAGAUUUCGUCUUUGAAGAGAUUCCCAAACAUGUUGCUGCAAAAGCUUGACUAAUAUUACCAAUUGAAAUAUAAAAUACAAAGCUACAGUAGUUGCUAUAGUCGUUACACUGAAAAAAUGCAAAAUCUUAUCAGAAUUUUGAUAACCAUGCAUGGUUGUCUGUAUGUUGUUUUUAAAUUUCUUUUUAGAAAAAAAAAAGUACUUAUUUUUUUUAAAUACUGGCGGAAAA